rnacentral:lncRNA from 1 species
AUGACCCUUUUGGGCUCUCCAAAUAACAGCUCUCUGUCCCUGGAAACCCCUUGCAGUGAGUGGGCUAUGUCUGCCUGGGCAUUUGUCUCACUUACAAGUGGGGAAACUGAGGCACACAGCCACCACCAAGUGAGGGUGUCGCAGGAAAGGACAGCCCAGCUGCUGCCCCCAUGGUGCCAAUUCCCCCUUUCCCCAAAUACUAUCAGGCACUGGCAGUGCCCAUGGAGAUGGCAGCCCACUCCUCACCUCCUGCCCAUGCUGCCCUUCCUCAUCUCGGGGCUGUCCUUGCUCACCCUCCCCUUUGGCUCCUGCUCCCUUGGCCUCGCAGCUGCUUUAAUUUUAGCAAUUCCUUGGAAAGAGUCCUUUUCCAUAACUCAGCUCACAGCGAAGCUCUCUGCCUGCCAGCUCUGCCUUCUCCCACGUGUUGCUGGCGUGCCCCAGCAGCACACGCCUGCACCUGCCCAGCCAGGCCUGUCCCAGCCUCCUGCACACCCAAACCUCACGCCCGGCUCCCGUCCCCUCCUGGCACAUUUAAUCCUGGCACUCCCGAAUUGCACUGCGGGAGCAGCUUCUGCCUUGUCUGGAGGCAUUGUGCGUGGCACGUCUGUCCUCCUCGUCCUGCAGAACCCUCACCUGCGUGACAGCUUUGGUGCAAUGGGAAGUGGGGUUACCCUACAGCCAGGGGGUGCAGAGGAUGAGAAAGCUGUGCAGUGUGGGUGUGCAGUGUGCACCAGUAGGUUGCACGGGAGUGGGAAAAGUGGGUGCAUGCAGGAUGCUCUGCUUGUGCACUGGUCAUGUGAGACCAGUGUGAGCACAGAGCUGUGUGCACUGGUUGUGCAAGGGUGUGUGAGCAUGGACCUGUGCAUUGAGUUGUGCACUGUGUGCGUGAGUGUGCUUUUAUUUUGGUCUGGAGCUGUGUGGCACUUCGGUUGGAGGGGUACUUGGAGUGAGUCAUCGUGCAAUGGGAUGUGCACGGCCAUGUGUGUGCCAGACACUCACGAGUGCGAUGCGUGCGUGUUCACGGGAUGCAUGUGA